GAUGAACGCUCGCGAUAGGCUUAACACAUGCAAGUCGAGGGGCAGCAUGGUCUUAGCUUGCUAAGGCUGAUGGCGACCGGCGCACGGGUGCGUAACGCGUAUGCAACUUGCCUCACAGAGGGGGAUAACCCGUCGAAAGACGGACUAAUACCGCGUACACUCUAUGUUGGGCAUCCAAUGUAGAGGAAAUGAAAUUCGCUGUGAGAUAGGCAUGCGUCCCAUUAGCUAGUUGGUGAGGUAACGGCUCACCAAGGCGACGAUGGGUAGGGGAACUGAGAGGUUGAACCCCCACACUGGGACUGAGACACGGACCAGACUCCUACGGGAGGCAGCAGUGAGGAAUAUUGGUCUAUGGGCGAGAGCCUGAACCAGCCAAGUCGCGUGAAGGAUGACUGUCUUAUGGAUUGUAAACUUCUUUUAGACGGGAAUAACAAGAGUCACGUGUGGCUCCCUGCAUGUACCGUAUGAAUAAGCAUCGGCUAACUCCGUG
rnacentral:rRNA from 1 species